GCCAGACCAAGGAGGUAGGUAAUAAGAAAAGAAUUAUCAACAUAGAUUUAGUGUGAUACUAUCUAAUAGUCUAAUGUCAAUUGGUGCGAGGGUGAAAGCUAAGUCAUACAUUGAUGUGAUGUCUAAUAUGAGGUAAAGAUAAGGGUUAGUAAAUUAUACACACGUAGCCGGACCAAGGUGCCGGGUGAAAUUCUCUAGUUGCCGGACCAAGGAAUUAGAGAUACCUAACUUACCACUUUGCAUGUAAUACACUAGGAAAGGAUUACUAUUACUAGGAUUACC
rnacentral:lncRNA from 1 species